AUACUGUUGCGCAACAACAGAUAACGCAGGACGCGACUCGCUGUUGAGUUGCGGCGUGGGUUGGACGUUCGUGCAGUGUCUAAAACUUCGUUUUUAGUGCAGUUGUGGAGUAGUGUUGUUUGGAGAAACAAGAAUUUACACAGCUUGAGACGUCCUUUCGAAUUCCGUAGAUGAAAGAAGUGAUUAGUGACUGAAGAAAUCCUAGGACUAGCUGGGGAUCAGAAACCAGUUCUAUGGAUUUUUGGUUUAGCGCUUACGCAAUGAGCCGCCAAUCCAAACACAGAGAAUUGUUGACAAGAAACAAAUAUAAAGGCAUUUAGAAAAUAGUGCUGUGAAAAGGAGUCAGUAUUCAAUCAUAGGUCAAUUUCUCAGAAGUUUUUGGAAAGAUUGGAAUGCAUAUUCUGAAAUUAGAGGCAAGUCUCAUCCUUGUGAUUUCAUGCAUUUGUUGGCAAUGCAUAUUUAAACCUGACAGGACAUUUCGUCUCUAAGUUAUUUACUGUUGUUAGUGCAAAUAUAUCCCAUGGGUGGUUCUGUCAAGUAGACUCAAGAUUUUAUGUCUGUUAAAAUAUUAUCAUAGCCAGAAAGUUAUUAGUUCUUAUCAUAUGACUUUUGUAAUAUCCCCAGAAGCUGUAUUUUUUGAUCCUAAGCGUGUGUGUGUGUGUGUGUGUGUGUGUGUGUGUGUGUGUGUGUGU